UCCCUUGUGGCUCAGCUGGUAAAGUAUCUGCCUGCAAUGCGGGAGACCUGGGUUCAAUCCCUGGGUUGGGAA
rnacentral:tRNA from 1 species